rnacentral:rRNA from 1 species
AUCCGGAUUUACUAGGUUUAAAGGGUCUGUAGGCUGUAUAUUAAGUCAGUGGUGAAAUGUCUGAGCUUAACUGAGGACUUGCCAUUGAAACUGGUAUACUUGAGUAUGGUUGCUGUCGGCGGAAUGUAUUAUGUAGCGGUGAAAUGCAUAGAUAUGAUACAGAACACCAAUUGCGAAAGCAGCUGACAAAACCAGCACUGACGCUGAUAGACGAAAGCGUGGGGAGCGAACAGGAUUAGAUACCCUGGUAGUCCACGCAGUAAACUAUGGGCACUAGUUUUUGGCGAUAGACAGUCAGAGACAAAGCGAAAGCGUUAAGUGCCCCACCUGGGGAUUACGUUCGCAAGAAUGAAACUCAAAGGAAUUGACGGGGGCCCGCACAAGCGGAGGAACAUGUGGUUUAAUUCGAUGAUACGCGAGGAACCUUACCUGGGCUUAAAUGCUAGGCGUCUUCGGGCGUAGUCUGUAGAAAUACAGCUUAAACUUGCAAGGUGCUGCAUGGUUGUCGUCAGCUCGUGCCGUGAGGUGUCGGGUUAAGUCCCAUAACGAGCGCAACCCACAUUCUUAGUUGCCAUCAAAUAAGUUGGGCACUCUAGGAAAACUGCCAUCGUAAGAUGUGAGGAAGGUGUGGAUGACGUCAAAUCAGCACGGCCCUUAUGUCCAGGGCUACACACGUGUUACAAUGGUCGGUACAAAAGGCAGCGACCUGGUAACAGAGAGCUAAUCUUAAAAACCGGCCUCAGUUCGGAUUGGAGUCUGCAAUUCGACUCCAUGAAGUCGGAUUCGCUAGUAACCGCGUAUCAGCAAUGACGCGGUGAAUACGUUCCCGGGCCUUGUACACACCGCCCGUCAAGCCAUGGAAGCUGGGUGCACACUGAAGUCCGUGACCGUUCAGGAGCGGCCGACGGUGAAACUAGUGACUGGGGCU